CUUACUGCUAAAAAUGCCCAGACAGAAACUGAUGAGUUUCUUUAACUCAAUUUCUCCACCUUUUUUCCAAAGGCCCAGGGACCAGUCUGGGGGUGGGGGAGGGAGCACGAAGCCCGAGGUCUGUUGGUCAGUUCAGAAUUACACAGCAGUGAGGGGCCACCCCGCAAAUCUCAGUAAGAGUCGGAGGAGUAGGAGCAGGGUCCAUUUUUGUCAGUGGGGGUGGGGGCUCAUUCCUCUGAGAGAACCGACCAAGAGCUUGGAAAGAAAAAAUUUCAGAGUCAGACUUAACAAACAAAAAAAAACGUUUGAAGAUGGAGAUGACGGGCCAAAGGUGAAGCCACAUGGAAAGAAGCUCUAGCCCUCUGACCCCUACCAUUUGCUAGCUUUCUCCUGCCUCAAUAGCAAGAAUCUCUAUAGUCAAUUUGCAUCGUGUUCAGUAAUCACAAGAUGACUGCCGCUGCAUCAGCUGAUAAUUAUCUCUGCUUACUGGAACUGCUUUCCAGAAACUACAUUCCAUGGAGACCCACCUACAUCAAACGAACAACUGCAGAACCUCAAUAGACC